GACGUAGGGCGCGAGCGUUGUCCGGAUUUAUUGGGCGUAAAGAGCUCGUAGGCGGUUUGUCGCGUCUGCUGUGAAAUUUCGGGGCUCAACCCCGAACUUGCAGUGGGUACGGGCAGACUAGAGUGUGGUAGGGGAGACUGGAAUUCCUGGUGUAGCGGUGAAAUGCGCAGAUAUCAGGAGGAACACCGAUGGCGAAGGCAGGUCUCUGGGCCACUACUGACGCUGAGAAGCGAAAGCAUGGGGAGCGAACAGG
rnacentral:rRNA from 1 species